rnacentral:rRNA from 1 species
GCUGUAUGUCGACGUAACACGUCGAGCAACCUGCCCCCGACUCCGGGAUAAGCGGUGGAAACGCCGUCUAAUACCGGAUACGACCGGCCACCUCAUGGCGGCCGGUGGAAAGUUUUCUCGGUUGGGGAUGGGCUCGCGGCCUAUCAGCUAGUUGGUGGGGUAAAGGCCUACCAAGGCGAUUACGGGUAGCCGGCCUGAGAGGGCGACCGGCCACACUGGGACUGAGACACGGCCCAGACUCCUGCGGGAGGCAGCAGUGGGGAAUAUUGCGCAAUGGGCGAAAGCCUGACGCAGCGACGCCGCGUGGGGGAUGACGGCCUUCGGGUUGUAAACCUCUUUUACCACCAACGCAGGCUCCCAGUUCUCUGGGGGUUGACGGUAGGUGGGGAAUAAGGACCGGCUAACUACGUGCCAGCAGCCGCGGUAAUACGUAGGGUCCGAGCGUUGUCCGGAAUUAUUGGGCGUAAAGAGCUCGUAGGCGGCGUGUCGCGUCUGCUGUGAAAGACCGGGGCUUAACUCCGGUUCUGCAGUGGAUACGGGCAUGCUAGAGGUAGGUAGGGGAGACUGGAAUUCCUGGUGUAGCGGUGAAAUGCGCAGAUAUCAGGAGGAACACCGGUGGCGAAGGCGGGUCUCUGGGCCUUACCUGACGCUGAGGAGCGAAAGCAUGGGGAGCGAACAGGAUUAGAUACCCUGGUAGUCCAUGCCGUAAACGUUGGGCGCUAGGUGUGGGGACUUUCCACGGUUUCCGCGCCGUAGCUAACGCAUUAAGCGCCCCGCCUGGGGAGUACGGCCGCAAGGCUAAAACUCAAAGGAAUUGACGGGGGCCCGCACAAGCGGCGGAGCAUGUUGCUUAAUUCGACGCAACGCGAAGAACCUUACCAAGGUUUGACAUCACCCGUGGACCUGCAGAGAUGUGGGGUCAUUUAGUUGGUGGGUGACAGGUGGUGCAUGGCUGUCGUCAGCUCGUGUCGUGAGAUGUUGGGUUAAGUCCCGCAACGAGCGCAACCCUUAUUCCAUGUUGCCAGCACGUAAUGGUGGGGACUCAUGGGAGACUGCCGGGGUCAACUCGGAGGAAGGUGGGGACGACGUCAAGUCAUCAUGCCCCUUAUGUCUUGGGCUGCAAACAUGCUACAAUGGCCGGUACAAUGGGCGUGCGAUACCGUAAGGUGGAGCGAAUCCCUAAAAGCCGGUCUCAGUUCGGAUUGGGGUCUGCAACUCGACCCCAUGAAGGUGGAGUCAGUUAGUAAUCGCCGGCAUCAAGCAAUCAGCACAGGAUCGCACGAGAG